CCACCACCACCACCACCACCACCACCAGCAUCGUCUACUAAGGAAAAUGGGUAUCAUUUACUUUUUCUAAGCGCACGUGCUAUCUCACAGGCCUAUCACACUAGAGAAUUCCUAUUCAACCUUAAUCAGGAUGGAAAGGCUUUACCCGAAGGGCCUGUUGUUAUUUCCCCUGACGGACUGUUUCCUUCCUUGUUUCGAGAAGUCAUCAGAAGAGCUCCUCAUGAAUUCAAAAUUGCUUGCUUAGAGGUUGGUUCUUGUCAUCUCUACUACACAGGUAUCUUAAUAUGUCUGGAAGAGAGAGGUUCUUAAUUAUGUUUGUUUAAAUAUGAAGUUCCAAGCACAAACUCGAGCUCAUCAACAUCAAGACAUGGAUUUGAUUCUCAAAUUGUAAGUCAGAAAGAUUUUAGUUUCCAAGAAACAUUUGUUGACAAGAUUCUACUUUUGAGUUGCCUUAAUUGGGUUUGGGAGUUUGAAGUCUAUUGUUUUAAACAUUAAGCUGGAAGUCAUAGAUAUCAGUCGAAUGCCUUUACAACUUUUCAAACUCAAGGCAAUGUCAGGAAACAUGAGAUAUGUUUUUGUCCAACACUAAUAUUAUUUUGCAGAUGUUCUGAUGUCUGUACAAACAUAUAUGUUAUGUUAAUUGUAUGUGUAAGCACAUGGUUGUGUACCACAUAUUUUUUAUGUGCCUUUUCAGACUUGCGGAAAAUCUCCCAAAGCUUUCUAGACCUUAUAUAGAUUACAGAAUUGCCUCUCACGCUUUUUUUUUAUUAUUUAUUUAUAAACUUUGCACUUUGGUCACUUGAUGUUUGCCAUAAGUUAAGAUUUGAUUUUUAAUUAAUCUUCAUUAAUAUUUGAUUACUACCAUAUGUUGCAGAGUAAACUUUUAUUAUUAGUUUCUUCCUUGUGUCAUUGCACCCCUAUGUUUAGAUAAUUGUUUACUACAGUUGGGCGUUAGCUCUUCGGAUUCCAAUCCAUGCUAGCUCAGGGUUGAUUCUUCUCAUUCCCCUCAGAUCAUCAUGUUAGUUGGGCUAGAGCAGAUCUGCACCAAUCCUCAAGUUUUUCUAAGUCAAACUGUGGAUUUGACUGACCUGCUCUCUUCUAUAUGAAAGUUUUAGAACUGUCAUUCUCAUUCUCAUUCUCUCACUCUUAAUUUGUGCUAUUGUGACCUAUAUUUUUUCUUAUCUUUUUUAGCCUGAAAUGUCAGAUCUGUGUUUGUUUCAGAUUUGAGUUUAGCUUAUAAUCAAGUUGUAUGAGGAAGUUUGAUGCUUUUUUACUUUUCACAAAAUCUUUUGUAGCUUAAUUUUGAUACUAUAUUCUUUUCUUCUCCUUCAUUUUUUUUUCCAUUUAUUUUAUGGAACUAUUUUUGAUCCAUCAUUGAGUUAUGAAGAGCGGGAAAAAAGGAAGAGACAGGCUGCCGAAAGAGCUGUUUUUCUCUAGGAUCUGCUAUUCUCAACUCUGUUAGACGACUAGUGAAGCAGCAGUAAGUUGAUAUAGAAUAGCUAUAAAAUUGAGUAAUUAAAUGAUCAUGAUUAGGGGCAAUUUGGGUAUGGUCUCGCAUUGUUCGACAACAACCCAACGUCUAGCCCAAUCAAGUGUUUUAUUGAAUAAUUUCAGAGGUAAUUAUUCUUUCUCCUUCCUAUAUCUUUCUAUAAUUUUUUUUGACUUUAACAAUGAAGAAAAAUUUGAAAUGGCAAGUUUUCUAAAAAAUUUGGACCAAUUUCAUUUCAUCAGGGUAUGCCGAAAUAAGUAUUUAGUAUCUGUGACCCAUAAAAAAUUUCGUUAUGUAUCUGUGACCCAUAAAAAAUUUCGUUAUGUAUCAGUAUCUGUUAAUCUAUUUUUCUGCUGCUGUGUGGUUGGUCUGCUACUCUGUAUCUGAUGCUAAUCUGCUGUGUAUCUGCUGCUGUUUUUGGCCUAUAACUAAGUCUAAACAAGGGGGCCUUUUGUUCUCCAACUUGUUCUCUCAAGUUUCUAACCAUCACUUGUCGAGUGAUUUAAUUACUUUCUUUUUUGCUUUGAUAUUAGUUUCCUUUUUUUCUUUGUUUUGGGUUUAACAAGAGGUUAUUGUGAUCCAUUCAAUGCUUCAGUUCUCUACUUGAAAGGAAGUAGACUGUUUUUAUUCUGUUUUAUUAACAUGUUUGUUGUGCUUGUAACACUUCGUAGAAAGUAUUUAUCCUACAUGUUUUCUUUCUGCCGUAGCCGGUGGGUUUCACAUAGAAUACAUUGUAGUGGCUAAUGGGUACUCCAUUGAAAGCGUUCUGUUUAAAUACAAGUCAAUUCUAAGUGUUUGCUACUGAAUGGGUUUUGUAAGUCUCGUUCCAAGAUUGAUCCUUGUGCAAAAUUUGUCUUUUGCUCUCAUUGCAAUUUCAUUUGAGAUGCAUACUGAUGAAUGAACAUAAUAUGAAACUUAAUAUUACAUUUAUCUGAGUUAUUAUUUCAUCGCUUCUAUUCAUUAAAUUUUUUUGUUUUUAAAAUUUACUUUUCAGCUUCUACUUGCUGUGGGAACUAAGCUGGAGCAUGUAAUCACCCAGUUAGCUCACGAGGUUGCAGAGAAACACAUUGCAAUUGAAGGGGAAUUAGUAGUGCAACCUUCAGAUAAUCAUUUUUGGUUCCAUCGGCCCCCCAUUGUCCUUUUCUUGAUGCAUUUCAUACUGUUCCAAAAGGCUUUUGAGAUAGCAUUUUUCUUCUGAAUAUGGUCCACUGAAUAGAUCGAAGAGAACAGCUGAAAUCAUUUGGAGUGCUCGCAAGGAGGAGAUUAUUACUGAUUCUGAUCUGAGGGAAAUUGACCUGUACACUUCUU